AUUGAACGCUGGCGGCAUGCUUUACACAUGCAAGUCGAACGGCAGCACGGGUGCUUGCACCUGGUGGCGAGUGGCGGACGGGUGAGUAAUGCAUCGGAACGUGUCCUGAAGUGGGGGAUAACGCAUCGAAAGAUGUGCUAAUACCGCAUAUUCUCUGAGGAGGAAAGUAGGGGAUCGAAAGACCUUAUGCUUUUGGAGCGGCCGAUGUCUGAUUAGCUAGUUGGUAGGGUAAUGGCUUACCAAGGCGACGAUCAGUAGUUGGUCUGAGAGGACGACCAGCCACACUGGGACUGAGACACGGCCCAGACUCCUACGGGAGGCAGCAGUGGGGAAUUUUGGACAAUGGGCGCAAGCCUGAUCCAGCAAUGCCGCGUGAGUGAAGAAGGCCUCGGUUGUAAGACUCUUUC
rnacentral:rRNA from 1 species